GAUGAACGCUGGCGGCGUGCCUAAUACAUGCAAGUCGAGCGAAGCGGGGACGGGUGAGUAACACGUGGAUAACCUCCUAUAAGACUGGGAUAACGUCGGGAAACCGGAGCUAAAACGGAUACUUAUAGCUGGAUCCGGUGUGCAUUAGCUAGUUGGUAAGGUAACGGCUUACCAAGGAAACGAUGCAUAGCCGACCUGAGAGGGGGAUCGGCCACACGGGACCUGCGACACGGUCAAGACUCCUACGGGAGUCAGCAGUGGGGAAUCUUGCGCAAUGGGCGAAAGCCUGACGGAGCAACGCCGCGUGAGUGAUGAAGGUCUUCGGAUCGUAAAACUCUGUUAUUAGGGAAGCGGUACCUAAUCAGAAAGCCACGGCUAACUACGUGCCAGCAGCCGCGGUAAUUC
rnacentral:rRNA from 1 species